UGGGGAAUAUUGGGCAAUGGAGGGAACUCUGACCCAGCAACGCCGCGUGAAGGAAGAAGGUUUUCGGAUUGUAAACUUCUGUCGCGAGGGACGAAGAAUGACUGUACCUCGUAAGAAAGCCCCGGCUAACUACGUGCCAGCAGCCGCGGUAAUACGUAGGGGCAAGCGUUGUCCGGAAUGACUGGGCGUAAAGGGAGUGUAGGCGGCACUAUAAGUUAGAUGUGAAAGCCCGCAGCUUAACUGCGGAACUGCAUCUAAAACUGUAGAGCUUGAGUGCAGGAGAGGUAAGUGGAAUUCCUAGUGUAGCGGUGGAAUGCGUAGAUAUUAGGAGGAACACCAGAGGCGAAGGCGACUUACUGGACUGUAACUGACGUUGAGGCUCGAAAGCGUGGGGAGCAAACAGGAUUAGAUACC
rnacentral:rRNA from 1 species